UGGGGAAUAUUGGACAAUGGGCGCAAGCCUGAUCCAGCCAUGCCGCGUGAGUGAUGAAGGCCUUAGGGUUGUAAAGCUCUUUCGCUAGGGAAGAUAAUGACGGUACCUAGAGAAGAAGCCCCGGCUAACUUCGUGCCAGCAGCCGCGGUAAUACGAAGGGGGCUAGCGUUGUUCGGAAUUACUGGGCGUAAAGCGCACGUAGGCGGACUAUUAAGUCAGGGGUGAAAUCCCAGGGCUCAACCCUGGAACUGCCUUUGAUACUGGUAGUCUUGAGUACGAGAGAGGUGAGUGGAAUUCCGAGUGUAGAGGUGAAAUUCGUAGAUAUUCGGAAGAACACCAGUGGCGAAGGCGGCUCACUGGCUCGUAACUGACGCUGAGGUGCGAAAGCGUGGGGAGCAAA
rnacentral:rRNA from 1 species